rnacentral:rRNA from 1 species
GACGAACGCUGGCGGCGUGCUUAACACAUGCAAGUCGAACGGAAAGGCCCUGCUUUUGUGGGGUGCUCGAGUGGCGAACGGGUGAGUAACACGUGAGUAACCUGCCCUUGACUUUGGGAUAACUUCAGGAAACUGGGGCUAAUACCGGAUAGGAGCUCCUGCUGCAUGGUGGGGGUUGGAAAGUUUCGGCGGUUGGGGAUGGACUCGCGGCUUAUCAGCUUGUUGGUGGGGUAGUGGCUUACCAAGGCUUUGACGGGUAGCCGGCCUGAGAGGGUGACCGGCCACAUUGGGACUGAGAUACGGCCCAGACUCCUACGGGAGGCAGCAGUGGGGAAUAUUGCACAAUGGGCGGAAGCCUGAUGCAGCAACGCCGCGUGCGGGAUGACGGCCUUCGGGUUUUAAACCGCUUUCGCCUGUGACGAAGCGGGAGUGACGGGAAUGGGUAAAGAAGCACCGGCUAACUACGUG